AUCUGACGGACAGAACAAAGCUCUCACACAAGUGGAGCUUUCAUGUCACUCGUAGCUCACAUGAGCCUCCACGCCUGUUGAAAUAAGGUAGGGAAGCUGUCAGGCAGCUGAUUGCUACAGUCCUGCUACAGACAGACAGACAGACAGAAGAACUUUGUCAAACUCAGCUCUUUGACACACUCGUACAUAACUCAGAAUUAGAAAAAGUCUGCUGGGUAAUGGCUGCUCUCAGGGUUUUUCUCCCUCUCGCCAUCUGCCUCCUGCUGGGGCAUCAGACGUUCGCCAAGGCGUUCGCCCCACAUUGGCGCUCCCUGCCAGAAGUCCAAGUGGAACAACGCCUUCAACACCUUCGUCAAGCGCCACAUUCGCGCCGGGUUGCCCACCACUCUCGACCAGAACAAAUGGAAAGAGUACAUUACGAAUAACAACGACUGUGACAGACCCACGCAGUCUUUCCUUCGUCAUGAAGAGCUGGACGCAGGGUGAUGGCCGUGUGCAUGAAGGCAGGCGGGAAGACGUACAAGGGGAACCUGUGCAUCAGCAACCAGCGUUUCACUUUUGUUACAGUGAGGAUCGAGAAAGGCACCUGCAAAAUCUUCGAGAUAUGUUGGGAAAACAAACAUCUGAUUCUGGCCUGUGAUAAGCUGGCGGAUGGGUGUCUGCCUGUGCAUUUUGAGGGAAACCCUAAUAAUAAAAGCCCCGACAACAACGCCAAAAGCUGCCAGGCCCCCUCAGAGUAGAGGCCACGCACGCAGCCUUAAAAUGUCAGGGCUCCAAUAGUUCCUCUUUUAAUUUGAGGAACAUGAGACGACAACAGAGUUUCUAUUUGGGGCAUUUGAGCAAAACUAUUACAAUUACUGAAAUUUAAAUUGAAGAAUUUAAGGUUUUAAACCCCCAAUAUGUAAACCAUUUUUUUUACAGGACUUUUUUAUAAAUGUAUUUGUUACUUGUAUUAUAUUUAAUACUAUUACAUGCUUGUGCCUGUGUAUCUGUAAGUUGUGCAUGAUCUAUCUUUUAGUGAUAUGUUUUCGAGGAUUGAUGCUCCAGUGGCAUUCCAUUUAGUUUUAUGAUUGCGAUUUGCGAUCAUUACCGACUGCAUGCGUUGUGUGUAUUAAAAAGGGAAUCAAUCACAUUUCCACACCAAAGGGAUUGUAUUUUAUUAUAUAUGUGUGCGGUAUAUUUAAUAAAGUGAAAUCAGAAGAAUUUGUCUAAAGUCAUUUCCACCGUGGUGUGUUUGGUCGCUUUUGCUGAAACAAGGUUUACCACUGAGACUUCUAAAGUGUUUUGUGGACUCAAACACUUCACCCCCCCCCCCCAUCCAUCGGCUUAGUGGUGAGUAGAUAGCGUAAACGUACAUUUUUCAGUGAACUAUCCCUUUAAACUUUUAAUUGUUCUUAAAAAACUUUAAUGGUAGAGAAUAGAUAUAAUUUAGGCCACUCCCGCUGCUGACACAACACAAGGAAGUGAAAUGUGGAACCGCAACUGAAGUACAGAAGAAAGCUAUCACACAACUGGAGGUUUCAGGUCACUCCUAUCUCACAUGAGCCUCCACGCCUGUUAACAUAAGGUAGGGAAGCUGUCAGGCAGCUGAUUGCUACAGUCCUGCUACAGACAGACAGACAGACAGACAGACAGACAGACAGACAGACAGAACAGAAGAACUUUGUCAAACUCAGCUCUUUGACACACUCGUACAUGAACCAGAAUCAGAAAAAGUCUGCUGGGUAAUGGCUGCUCUCAGGGUUUUUCUCCCUCUCGCCAUCUGACUCCUGCUGGGGCAUCAGACGUUCGCCCACAAUGACGCUCCCUGCCAGAAGUCUGAGCAGAACAACGCCUUCGACACCUUCGUCAAGCGCCACAUUCGCGACAAGUUGCCCAACAUUGAAGACCAUAACAAAUGGGAGAAUUACAUCAAGGAUAACGGCGGCUGUGACAGACCCACGCAGUCUUUCCUUCAGCCUGAAGAGCUGCAAGGGGUGAAGGACGUGUGCACGGAUAAAGGCAGGAAGAUGUACAAUAAGAACCUGUGCAUCAGCGACAAGCUUUUCAAUUUUGUUACAGUGACAAGCGAGAAAGUUACCUGCAAAAUCAACGACGUAAUUCUGGAAAAAAAACAUCUGAUUCUGGGCUGUGAUAAUGUGAAUAAUCAUUGUGUGCCUGUGCAUUUUGAGAAAAACUGUAAUGAUGAAAAGCCCAAAAACAACGAAAAAAGCUGCCAGGCCCUUUAGAGUAGAGGCCACGCAUGCAGCUUUAAAAUGUCAGGGCUCCAAUAGUUCCUCUUUUUAAUUUGAGGAACAUGAGACGACAACAGAGUUUCUAUUUGGGGCAAUUGGGCAAAACUAUUACAAGUACUGAAAUUAAAUUUUAAGAAUUUAAGGUUUUAAACCACCAAUAUGUAAACCAUUUUUUUUAAAGGAUCAUCUAUCUUUUAGUGAUAUGUUUUCGAGGAUUAAUGCGCCAGUGGCGUUUCAUUUAGUUUUAGGAUUGCGAUUUGUGAUCAUGACCGACUGCAUGCGUUGUGUGUAUUAAAAAGGGAAUCAAUCACAUUUCCACACCAAAGGGAUUGUAUUUUAUUAUAUAUGUUUGCGGUAUAUUUAAUAAAGUGAGUUCAGAAGAA